rnacentral:rRNA from 1 species
UACGAAGGGUGCAAGCGUUAAUCGGAAUUACUGGGCGUAAAGGGUGCGUAGGCGGUUGUUUAAGUCUGUCGUGAAAAUCCCCGGGCUUAACCUGGGAAUGGCAUUGGUGACUGCACGGCUAGAGUGUGUCAGAGGGGGGUAGAAUUCCACGUGUAGCAGUGAAAUGCGUAGAGAUGUGGAGGAAUACCGAUGGCGAAGGCGGCUUCCUGGACCGAUACUGACGCUGAGGCGCGAAAGCUAGGGGAGCAAACAGG